AAUAUUGGACAAUGGGCGAAAGACUGAUCCAGCAAUGCCGCGUGUGUGAAGAAGGUCUUCGGAUUGUAAAGCACUUUAAGUUGGGAGGAAGGGCAGUAAGUUAAUACUUUGCUGUUUUGACGUUACCGACAGAAUAAGCACCGGCUAACUUCGUGCCAGCAGCCGCGGUAAUACGAAGGUUGCAAGCGUUAAUCGGAAUUACUGGGAGUAAAGCGCGCGUAGGUGGUUUUUUAAGUUGGAAGUGAAAGCCCCGGGCUCAACCUGGGAACUGCAUUCAAAACUGUAUAGCUAGAGUAUGGCAGAGGGUGAUGGAAUUUCCUGUGUAGCGGUGAAAUGCGUAGAUAUAGGAAAGAAUACCAGUGGCGAAGGCGACCUCCUGGGCUUAUACUGACACUGAGGUGCGAAAGCGUGGGGAGCAAAC
rnacentral:rRNA from 1 species